UACAGAGGGGUCAAGCGUUGUUCGGAUUCAUUGGGCGUAAAGGGCGCGUAGGUGGCGCCGUAAGUCGGGUGUGAAAUUUCGGAGCUUAACUCCGAAACUGCAUUCGAUACUGCGGUGCUUGAGGACUGGAGAGGAGACUGGAAUUCAUGGUGUAGCAGUGAAAUGCGUAGAGAUCAUGAGGAAGACCAGUGGCGAAGGCGGGUCUCUGGACAGUCCCUGACGCUGAGGCACGAAGGUCAGGGGAGCAAACGGG
rnacentral:rRNA from 1 species